rnacentral:rRNA from 1 species
AGCGAACGCUGGCGGCAGGCUUAACACAUGCAAGUCGAACGCCCGUAGCAAUACGGGAGUGGCAGACGGGUGAGUAACGCGUGGGAACAUGCCCUUUGGUUCGGAAUAACUCAGGGAAACUUGAGCUAAUACCGGAUAAGCCCGAGAGGGGAAAGAUUUAUCGCCGAAGGAUUGGCCCGCGUCCGAUUAGCUAGUUGGUGAGGUAAUGGCUCACCAAGGCGACGAUCGGUAGCUGGUCUGAGAGGAUGAUCAGCCACACUGGGACUGAGACACGGCCCAGACUCCUACGGGAGGCAGCAGUGGGGAAUAUUGGACAAUGGGGGCAACCCUGAUCCAGCCAUGCCGCGUGAGUGAUGAAGGCCCUAGGGUUGUAAAGCUCUUUCGGCGGGGACGAUAAUGACGGUACCCGCAGAAGAAGCCCCGGCUAACUUCGUGCCAGCAGCCGCCGUAAAAC